GCUGGGCAUGGUGGCGCAUGCGUGGAGUCCCAGCUACUCAGGAAGCUGAGACAGGAGGAUCACUUGAGUCCAGGAAUUCUGGGCUGUAGUGUGCUAUGCUGGCCGGGUGUCUGCCCUAAGUUCAGCAUCAAUAUGGUGACCUCCCAGGAGCAGGGGAUCACCAGGUUGCCUAAGAAGGGGUGAACAGGCCCAGGUCAGAAACAGAGCAGGUCAAAGCUCCUGUGCUGAUCAGUAGUAGGAUCACGCCUGUGGAUAGAUACUGCACUCCAGUGUGGGCAAUGUAGCAAAACCCCAUCUCU
rnacentral:SRP_RNA from 1 species